rnacentral:lncRNA from 1 species
GGACCAAUCGUUGCUUCUCCAACUUUGGGCUCUACCUUCAAUACGGACUCCUUACAGUCGUCGGGAGACUCGGAGCAGUAGCCUUGAUAGGUAAGCCACCAAUUCCCUCCUCAUCAAUUGGCUUCUCCUCAGUCGUCCUCAAGAAAGGUUCAAUCAAGGGUAUCUCAUCAAAAAUCUUGAGAAUGGUCGAACUCUAUUCUCCUAUUCUUUGGCCCAAGUCAAUUCCUAAAGUAUCCUCUGUUUGGCCCAACUUUACUACCCUGAUAGGCUAAACACCAAGCUCUCUUCUCACCUGCUCACUCUCAGUCACCAAAGAAGGCUC